GUUGAGGUAGGGUACUGGCAACAGUGCUCUGCUGAAAUAUUUUCACCCAUGUCUUUUGCGCACUUUUUGUUUCCUGGGCGAGUUUGCUCGCCACCAGGACCCCCAUAUGAACCUUUUUUGUUUUUGCACUCAGCGUCAGUACAAUAAUUUAAUCUAUUAAAACUUUCAACAACGGAUCUCUUGGUUCUGGCAUCGAUGAAGAACGCAGCGAAAUGCGAUACGUAGUGUGAAUUGCAGAAUUCAGUGAAUCAUCGAAUCUUUGAACGCACAUUGCGCCCUUUGGUAUUCCAAAGGGCAUGCCUGUUCGAGCGUCAUUUGUACCCUCAAGCUUUGCUUGGUGUUGGGCGUCUUAUUGUCUCUCCGUCUCGGGGAGACUCGCCUUAAAACAAUUGGCAGCCGGCCUACUGGUUUCGGAGCGCAGCACAAAUUUGCGCUUGCAAUCAGCCAAGGGCGGCAUCCAUGAAGCCUUUUUUCUCUCACAUUUUGACCUCGGAUCAGGUAGGGAUACCCGCUGAACUUAAGCAUAUCAAUAGCCCGGAGGAAAUAUAGUCUACCCUGUG
rnacentral:rRNA from 1 species